UAACAAGGUCUCCGUUGGUGAACCAGCGGAGGGAUCAUUAUAGAGUUUUCUAAACUCCCAACCCAUGUGAACUUACCAUUGUUGCCUCGGCAGAAGCUACCUGGUUACCCUACCUUGGAACGGCCUACCCUGUAGCGCCUUACCCUGGAACGGCCUACCCUGUAACGGCUGCCGGUGGACUACCAAACUCUUGUUAUUUUAUUGUAAUCUGAGCGUCUUAUUUUAAUAAGUCAAAACUUUCAACAACGGAUCUCUUGGUUCUGGCAUCGAUGAAGAACGCAGCGAAAUGCGAUAAGUAAUGUGAAUUGCAGAAUUCAGUGAAUCAUCGAAUCUUUGAACGCACAUUGCGCCCAUUAGUAUUCUAGUGGGCAUGCCUGUUCGAGCGUCAUUUCAACCCUUAAGCCUAGCUUAGUGUUGGGAGCCUACUGCUUUUGCUAGCGGCAGCUCCUGAAAUACAACGGCGGAUCUGCGAUAUCCUCUGAGCGUAGUAAAUUUUAUCUCGCUUUUGACUGGAGUUGCAGCGUCUUUAGCCGCUAAACCCCCCAAUUUUUUAAUGGUUGACCUCGGAUCAGGUAGGAAUACCCGCUGAACUUAAGCAUAUCAAUA
rnacentral:rRNA from 1 species